GAGUUUGAUCAUGGCUCAGAUUGAACGCUGGCGGCAGGCUUAACACAUGCAAGUCGAGCGGGGAGAUGUAGCUUGCUACAUUUCCUAGCGGCGGACGGGUGAGUAAUGCUUAGGAAUCUGCCUAUUAGUGGGGGACAACAUUCCGAAAGGAAUGCUAAUACCGCAUACGCCCUACGGGGGAAAGCAGGGGAUCUUCGGACCUUGCGCUAAUAGAUGAGCCUAAGUCAGAUUAGCUAGUUGGUGGGGUAAAGGCCUACCAAGGCGACGAUCUGUAGCGGGUCUGAGAGGAUGAUCCGCCACACUGGGACUGAGACACGGCCCAGACUCCUACGGGAGGCAGCAGUGGGGAAUAUUGGACAAUGGGCGAAAGCCUGAUCCAGCCAUGCCGCGUGUGUGAAGAAGGCCUUUUGGUUGUAAAGCACUUUAAGCGAGGAGGAGGCUACUUAGAUUAAUACUCUAGGAUAGUGGACGUUACUCGCAGAAUAAGCACCGGCUAACUCUGUGCCAGCAGCCGCGGUAAUACAGAGGGUGCGAGCGUUAAUCGGAUUUACUGGGCGUAAAGCGUGCGUAGGCGGCUUUUUAAGUCGGAUGUGAA
rnacentral:rRNA from 1 species